rnacentral:rRNA from 1 species
UGGAGAGUUUGAUCCUGGCUCAGGACGAACGCUGGCGGCGUGCUUAACACAUGCAAGUCGAACGGUAAGGCCCCUUCGGGGGUACACGAGUGGCGAACGGGUGAGUAACACGUGGGUGACCUGCCCUGUACUUCGGGAUAAGCCUGGGAAACUGGGUCUAAUACCGGAUAUGACCUUCCCCUGCAUGGGGGUUGGUGGAAAGCUUUUGCGGUACAGGAUGGGCCCGCGGCCUAUCAGCUUGUUGGUGGGGUAAUGGCCUACCAAGGCGACGACGGGUAGCCGGCCUGAGAGGGCGACCGGCCACACUGGGACUGAGACACGGCCCAGACUCCUACGGGAGGCAGCAGUGGGGAAUAUUGCACAAUGGGCGAAAGCCUGAUGCAGCGACGCCGCGUGAGGGAUGACGGCCUUCGGGUUGUAAACCUCUUUCAGUAGGGACGAAGCGCAAGUGACGGUACCUACAGAAGAAGCACCGGCCAACUACGUGCCAGCAGCCGCGGUA